GAUGAAGAACGUAGCGAAAUACGAUAAGUAAUGUGAAUUGCAGAAUUCAGUGAAUCAUCGAAUCUUUGAACGCACAUUGCGCCCGCCAGUAUUCUGGCGGGCAUGCCUGUUCGAGCGUCAUUUCAACCAUCAAGCCCCCCGGCUUGUGUUGGGGACCUGCGGCUGCCGCAGGCCCUGAAAAGCAGUGGCGGGCUCGCUGUCACACCGAGCGUAGUAGAUCUCAUCUCGCUCAGGGCGUGCUGCGGGUUCCGGCCGUUAAACCACCUUCAUAACCCAAGGUUGACCUCGGAUCAGGUAGGAAGACCCGCUGAACUUAAGCAUAUCAUAAGCGGAGGA
rnacentral:misc_RNA from 1 species